CUUUGCCCGGAGUCUUGGAGGGGGAUGGUACGGAUGGAGAAGGGUGAGACGACGGCGCAUCCAGGUUCCUGAGUGGAGACCAGCCGGGAGGACGGCGCCGAAUCUGAGAGGGAGUAACAGCUUGGACACAGCAUGCUGUAAACAGGCAGCUCAUUAAAGUGUGUACCUGUCUAGUGGCAUGGCCGACUCUGUUUAUGGCGAACAG